GGGUAGAGUAAUGCGUGACCAACCUGCCCCAUGCUCCAGAAUAGCUCUUGGAAACGGGUGGUAAUGCUGGAUGCUCCAACUUGACGCAUGUCUUGUUGGGAAAGUGUUUAGUGGCAUGGGAUGGGGUCGCGUCCUAUCAGCUUGUAGGCGGGGUAAUGGCCCACCUAGGCUUCGACGGGUAGCCGGCCUGAGAGGGCGGACGGCCACAUUGGGACUGAGAUACGGCCCAGACUCCUACGGGAGGCAGCAGGU
rnacentral:rRNA from 1 species